rnacentral:rRNA from 1 species
AGUGAACGCUGGCGGUAGGCCUAACACAUGCAAGUCGAACGGCAGCUCAGUAAGAGCUUGCUCUUACGGGUGGCGAGUGGCGGACGGGUGAGGAAUACAUCGGAAUCUACUUUUUCGUGGGGGAUAACGUAGGGAAACUUACGCUAAUACCGCAUACGACCUACGGGUGAAAGCAGGGGAUCUUCGGACCUUGCGCGAUUGAAUGAGCCGAUGUCGGAUUAGCUAGUUGGCGGGGUAAAGGCCCACCAAGGCGACGAUCCGUAGCUGGUCUGAGAGGAUGAUCAGCCACACUGGAACUGAGACACGGUCCAGACUCCUACGGGAGGCAGCAGUGGGGAAUAUUGGACAAUGGGCGCAAGCCUGAUCCAGCCAUACCGCGUGGGUGAAGAAGGCCUUCGGGUUGUAAAGCCCUUUUGUUGGGAAAGAAAAGCAGCAUGUUAAUACCCCGCUGUUCUGACGGUACCCAAAGAAUAAGCACCGGCUAACUUCGUG